rfam:Colinus virginianus strain Texas jcf7180006226170, whole genome shotgun sequence.
UUGCUUCAGCAGCAUAUAUACUAAAAGUGGAAAAAUACAGAGAAGUUUGUCAUGGAUCCUGUGCAAGGAUGACAUGCAAAUUAAUGAAGAGUUUCAUAUUUUU